rnacentral:rRNA from 1 species
GUCUACAGCCAUGCCGCCCCGAUCCUGUCUGAUCUCGGAAGCUAAGCAGGAUCAGGCCUGGUUAGUACUUGGAUGGGAGACCACCUAGGAAGACCAGGUGCUGUAGGCA